AUAAUACUUCCUCUGUCCUAAAAUUCUUGUCUUAGAUUUGUCUAAAUACAGAUGUUCCAAGUCACGUUUUAGUAUUAGAUACAUCCGUAUCUAGACAAAUCUAAGACAAGAAUUUUAGGGUAGAGGGAGUAUGAA
rfam:Triticum aestivum genome assembly, contig: Triticum_aestivum_CS42_TGACv1_scaffold_513433_6BS